rnacentral:rRNA from 1 species
UACGUAGGUGGCAAGCGUUAUCCGGAAUUAUUGGGCGUAAAGCGCGCGUAGGCGGUUUUUUAAGUCUGAUGUGAAAGCCCACGGCUCAACCGUGGAGGGUCAAUUGGAAAGCUGGAAACUUGAUGUGCAGAAGAGGAAAGUGGAUUCCAUGUGUAGCGGUGAAAUGCGCAGAGAUAUGGAGGAACACCAGUGGCGAAGGCGACUUU